CCUACGGGAGGCAGCAGUGAGGAAUAUUGGUCAAUGGACGAGAGUCUGAACCAGCCAAGUAGCGUGAAGGAUGACUGCCCUAUGGGUUGUAAACUUCUUUUAUAUGGGAAUAAAAUGUUCCACGUGUGGGAUUUUGUAUGUACCAUAUGAAUAAGGAUCGGCUAACUCCGUGCCAGCAGCCGCGGUAAUACGGAGGAUCCGAGCGUUAUCCGGAUUUAUUGGGUUUAAAGGGAGCGUAGGUGGAUUGUUAAGUCAGUUGUGAAAGUUUGCGGCUCAACCGUAAAAUUGCAGUUGAAACUGGCAGUCUUGAGUACAGUAGAGGUGGGCGGAAUUCGUGGUGUAGCGGUGAAAUGCUUAGAGAUCACGAAGAACUCCGGUUGCGAAGGCAGUUCACUGGACUGCAACUGACACUGAGGCUCGAAAGUGUGGGUAUCAAACAGGAUUAGAUACCCGAGUAGUC
rnacentral:rRNA from 1 species